AAGAGACAGCAGUCGCCACGGUAAUACGAAGGGUGCAAGCGUUAAUCGGAAUUACUGGGCGUAAAGCGUGCGUAGGCGGUUUGUUAAGUCUGUUGUGAAAUCCCCGGGCUCAACCUGGGAAUGGCAGUGGAUACUGGCUCGCUAGAGUGUGUCUGAUGAUGGUGGAAUUCCCGGUGUAGCGGUGAAAUGCGUAGAGAUCGGGAGGAACAUCAGUGGCGAAGGCGGCCAUCUGGGACAACACUGACGCUGAGGCACGAAAGCGUAGGGAGCAAACAGGAUUAGAUACCCGAGUAGUCCCUGUCUCUUAUAC
rnacentral:rRNA from 1 species